rnacentral:rRNA from 1 species
UACGUAGGGUGCAAGCGUUGUCCGGAAUUAUUGGGCGUAAAGAGCUCGUAGGCGGUCUGUCGCGUCUGCUGUGAAAACUCAGGGCUUAACCCUGAGCUUGCAGUGGGUACGGGCAGACUAGAGUGCGGUAGGGGAGACUGGAAUUCCGUGGUGUAGACGGUGAAAUGCGCAGAUAUCAGGAGGAACACCGGUGGCGAAGGCGGGUCUCUGGGCCGUAACUGACG